rnacentral:rRNA from 1 species
UACGUAGGGUGCAAGCGUUAAUCGGAAUUACUGGGCGUAAAGCGUGCGCAGGCGGUUAUGUAAGACAGAUGUGAAAUGCCCGGGCUUAACCUGGGAACUGCAUUUGUGACUGCAUGGCUAGAGUUUGGCAGAGGGGGGUAGAAUUCCACGUGUAGCAGUGAAAUGCGUAGAUAUGUGGAGGAACACCGAUGGCGAAGGCAGCCCCCUGGGUCAAGACUGACGCUCAUGUGCGACAGCGUGGGGAGCAAACAGG